GUAUUGACUUUAUAUAGUAACUCCAAAUCAGCAAGCUACUUAUCAGACAAGAACUUUUGUAUCAAGCGAUCCGAGCCAGGCCACCAGGCCGACUCUCUGUCUGUUUUCCUAGUCAUGUAUGUUUGUUUGUUCAGGAAAAAAGAGAAGAGAAGAGAGAAGGGAAUCCCACAUCUCUCUCUCUCUCACCCUCCCCCCCUGUUGUUUGUGGUGUGUUCCUAUAAUGAUCCCUCCGCAGGUUCACCUACGGAGA
rnacentral:misc_RNA from 1 species